UACAGAGGGUGCGAGCGUUGUCCGGAAUCACUGGGCGUAAAGGGCGCGUAGGCGGCUGGGUAAGCGUGUGGUGAAAGUCCGGGGCUCAACCCCGGAUCGGCCAUGCGAACUGUCCAGCUGGAGCACGGUAGAGGCACAUGGAAUUCCGGGUGUAGCGGUGGAAUGCGUAGAGAUCCGGAAGAACACCGGUGGCGAAGGCGGUGUGCUGGGCCGUAGCUGACGCUGAGGCGCGACAGCGUGGGGAGCAAACAGG
rnacentral:rRNA from 1 species